rnacentral:rRNA from 1 species
GACGAACGCUGGCGGCGUGCCUAAUACAUGCAAGUAGAACGCUGAAGAGAGGAGCUUGCUCUUCUUGGAUGAGUUGCGAACGGGUGAGUAACGCGUAGGUAACCUGCCUUGUAGCGGGGGAUAACUAUUGGAAACGAUAGCUAAUACCGCAUAACAAUGGAUGACACAUGUCAUUUAUUUGAAAGGGGCAAUUGCUCCACUACAAGAUGGACCUGCGUUGUAUUAGCUAGUAGGUGAGGUAAUGGCUCACCUAGGCGACGAUACAUAGCCGACCUGAGAGGGUGAUCGGCCACACUGGGACUGAGACACGGCCCAGACUCCUACGGGAGGCAGCAGUAGGGAAUCUUCGGCAAUGGGGGCAACCCUGACCGAGCAACGCCGCGUGAGUGAAGAAGGUUUUCGGAUCGUAAAGCUCUGUUGUAAGUCAAGAACGGGUGUGAGAGUGGAAAGUUCACACUGUGACGGUAGCUUACCAGAAAGGGACGGCUAACUACGUGCCAGCAGCCGCGGUAAUACGUAGGUCCCGAGCGUUGUCCGGAUUUAUUGGGCGUAAAGCGAGCGCAGGCGGUUUGAUAAGUCUGAAGUUAAAGGCUGUGGCUCAACCAUAGUUCGCUUUGGAAACUGUCAAACUUGAGUGCAGAAGGGGAGAGUGGAAUUCCAUGUGUAGCGGUGAAAUGCGUAGAUAUAUGGAGGAACACCGGUGGCGAAAGCGGCUCUCUGGUCUGUAACUGACGCUGAGGCUCGAAAGCGUGGGGAGCGAACAGGAUUAGAUACCCUGGUAGUCCACGCCGUAAACGAUGAGUGCUAGGUGUUGGAUCCUUUCCGGGAUUCAGUGCCGCAGCUAACGCAUUAAGCACUCCGCCUGGGGAGUACGACCGCAAGGUUGAAACUCAAAGGAAUUGACGGGGGCCCGCACAAGCGGUGGAGCAUGUGGUUUAAUUCGAAGCAACGCGAAGAACCUUACCAGGUCUUGACAUCCCGAUGCUAUUUCUAGAGAUAGAAAGUUACUUCGGUACAUCGGUGACAGGUGGUGCAUGGUUGUCGUCAGCUCGUGUCGUGAGAUGUUGGGUUAAGUCCCGCAACGAGCGCAACCCCUAUUGUUAGUUGCCAUCAUUCAGUUGGGCACUCUAGCGAGACUGCCGGUAAUAAACCGGAGGAAGGUGGGGAUGACGUCAAAUCAUCAUGCCCCUUAUGACCUGGGCUACACACGUGCUGCAAUGGUUGGUACAACGAGUUGCGAGUCGGUGACGGCGAGCUAAUCUCUUAAAGCCAAUCUCAGUUCGGAUUGUAGGCUGCAACUCGCCUACAUGAAGUCGGAAUCGCUAGUAAUCGCGGAUCAGCACGCCGCGGUGAAUACGUUCCCCGGGCU